CCUACGGGUGGCUGCAGUGAGGUAUAUUGGUCAAUGGGCGCGAGCCUGAACCAGCCAAGCAGCGUGAAGGAUGACUGCUCUACGGGUUGUAAACUUCUUUUAUAAAGGAAUAAAGUGAGGCACGUGUGCCUUUUUGUAUGUCCUAUAUGAAUAAGGAACGGCUAAUCCCGUGCCAGCAGCCGAGGUAAUACGGAGGUACCGAGCGUUAUCCGUAUUUAUUGGGUUUAAAGGGAGCGUAGAUGGGUUGUUAAGUCAGAUGUGAAAGUUUGCGGCUAAACCGUGAAAUUGCAAUUGAUACUGGCAGUCUGGAGUACAGGUGAGGUAGGCGGAAUUCGUGGUGUAGCGGUGAAAUGCUUAGAUAUCACGAGGAACUCCGAUUGCGAAGGCAGCUUACUAAACUGCCACUGACGUUGAUGCUCGAAAGUGUGGGUAUCAAACAGGAUUAGAUACCCCUGUAGUC
rnacentral:rRNA from 1 species